rnacentral:rRNA from 1 species
GACGAACGCUGGCGGCGUGCUUAACACAUGCAAGUCGAACGGAAAGGCCCUGCUUUUGUGGGGUGCUCGAGUGGCGAACGGGUGAGUAACACGUGAGUAACCUGCCCUUGACUUUGGGAUAACUUCAGGAAACUGGGGCUAAUACCGGAUAGGAGCUCCUGCUGCAUGGUGGGGGUUGGAAAGUUUCGGCGGUUGGGGAUGGACUCGCGGCUUAUCAGCUUGUUGGUGGGGUAGUGGCUUACCAAGGCUUUGACGGGUAGCCGGCCUGAGAGGGUGACCGGACACAUUGGUAGGGGGAGCGGUCGCAGGGUCAGAGAGGAGGGGGCAGUGGAGAAUAUGGAACGCGGGGGGGAAGUAGGAGGCAGCUGGGCUGGGGGGGGGCGGACUGGCUUCGGUUUGUAACCCGCGUGCGCCUGUGAGGAAGCGUGAGUGGGGGGGAUGGGUAGAGAAGCACCGACUAACUACGUGCCAGCAGCCGCGAUAACAAUAGGAAGAGCACACGCCUGACC